rnacentral:rRNA from 1 species
GCCCUUCGCCCGCCGCGCCCCGCGCCCGGCCCGCCGCCCCCGCCCCCAGCCGCCGCGGUAAUACGGAGGGUGCAAGCGUUAUCCGGAUUCACUGGGUUUAAAGGGUGCGUAGGUGGGCAGGUAAGUCAGUGGUGAAAUCUCUAAGCUUAACUUAGAAACUGCCGUUGAUACUAUCUGUCUUGAAUAUAGUGUAGGUGAGCGGAAUAUGUCAUGUAGCGGUGAAAUGCUUAGAUAUGACAUAGAACACCCAUUGCGAAGGCAGCUCGCUACACUAUCAUUGACACUGAGGCACGAAAGCGAGGGGAUCAAACAGGAUUAGAUACCCUGGUAGUCCACGCCCUAAACGAUGGAUACUCGACAUCAGCGAUACACUGUUGGUGUCUGAGCGAAAGCAUUAAGUAUCCCACCUGGGAAGUACGACCGCAAGGUUGAAACUCAAAGGAAUUGACGGAAGGGC